UUAAAUUGAAGAGUUUGAUCAUGGCUCAGAUUGAACGCUGGCGGCAGGCCUAACACAUGCAAGUCGAACGGUAACAGGAAGCAGCUUGCUGCUUCGCUGACGAGUGGCGGACGGGUGAGUAAUGUCUGGGAAACUGCCUGAUGGAGGGGGAUAACUACUGGAAACGGUGGCUAAUACCGCAUAACGUCGCAAGACCAAAGAGGGGGACCUUCGGGCCUCUUGCCAUCAGAUGUGCCCAGAUGGGAUUAGCUUGUUGGUGAGGUAACGGCUCACCAAGGCGACGAUCCCUAGCUGGUCUGAGAGGAUGACCAGCCACACUGGAACUGAGACACGGUCCAGACUCCUACGGGAGGCAGCAGUGGGGAAUAUUGCACAAUGGGCGCAAGCCUGAUGCAGCCAUGCCGCGUGUAUGAAGAAGGCCUUCGGGUUGUAAAGUACUUUCAGCGGGGAGGAAGGUGUUGUGGUUAAUAACCACAGCAAUUGACGUUACCCGCAGAAGAAGCACCGGCUAACUCCGUGCCAGCAGCCGCGGUAAUACGGAGGGUGCAAGCGUUAAUCGGAAUUACUGGGCGUAAAGCGCACGCAGGCGGUCUGUCAAGUCGGAUGUGAAAUCCCCGGGCUCAACCUGGGAACUGCAUUCGAAACUGGCAGGCUUGAGUCUUGUAGAGGGGGGUAGAAUUCCAGGUGUAGCGGUGAAAUGCGUAGAGAUCUGGAGGAAUACCGGUGGCGAAGGCGGCCCCCUGGACAAAGACUGACGCUCAGGUGCGAAAGCGUGGGGAGCAAACAGGAUUAGAUACCCUGGUAGUCCACGCCGUAAACGAUGUCUACUUGGAGGUUGUGCCCUUGAGGCGUGGCUUCCGGAGCUAACGCGUUAAGUAGACCGCCUGGGGAGUACGGCCGCAAGGUUAAAACUCAAAUGAAUUGACGGGGGCCCGCACAAGCGGUGGAGCAUGUGGUUUAAUUCGAUGCAACGCGAAGAACCUUACCUGGUCUUGACAUCCACGGAACUUUCCAGAGAUGGAUUGGUGCCUUCGGGAACCGUGAGACAGGUGCUGCAUGGCUGUCGUCAGCUCGUGUUGUGAAAUGUUGGGUUAAGUCCCGCAACGAGCGCAACCCUUAUCCUUUGUUGCCAGCGGUCCGGCCGGGAACUCAAAGGAGACUGCCAGUGAUAAACUGGAGGAAGGUGGGGAUGACGUCAAGUCAUCAUGGCCCUUACGACCAGGGCUACACACGUGCUACAAUGGCGCAUACAAAGAGAAGCGACCUCGCGAGAGCAAGCGGACCUCAUAAAGUGCGUCGUAGUCCGGAUUGGAGUCUGCAACUCGACUCCAUGAAGUCGGAAUCGCUAGUAAUCGUGGAUCAGAAUGCCACGGUGAAUACGUUCCCGGGCCUUGUACACACCGCCCGUCACACCAUGGGAGUGGGUUGCAAAAGAAGUAGGUAGCUUAACCUUCGGGAGGGCGCUUACCACUUUGUGAUUCAUGACUGGGGUGAAGUCGUAACAAGGUAACCGUAGGGGAACCUGCGGUUGGAUCACCUCCUUACCUGAAAGAAGC
rnacentral:rRNA from 2 species